rnacentral:rRNA from 1 species
AACUUUACUGAUCGCAGUCGGCCUUGUGUCGGCGACGGAUCUUUCAAAUGUCUGCCCUAUCAAUUUUCGAUGGUAGGUGACCUGCCUACCAUGGUGAUAACGGGUAACGGGGAAUCAGGGUUCGAUUCCGGAGAGGGAGCCUGAGAAACGGCUACCACUUCCAAGGAAGGCAGCAGGCGCGCAAAUUACCCAAUCCCGGCACGGGGAGGUAGUGACGAAAAAUACGGAUACGGGACUCAUUAGAGGCUCCGUAAUUCGAAUGAGUACAAUUUAAAUCCUUUAACGAGGAUCAACUGGAGGGCAAGUCUGGUGCCAGCAGCCGCGGUAACUCCAGCUCCAGAAGCGUAUAUUAAAGUUGUUGCAGUUAAAAAGCUCGUAGUUGGAUCUGGGUCGCAUGGCUACAUGCCGUUGCUCGUAUUCCUGGCCUGGUUCACACCGGGACGGGUUUGUGAGUCGGUGUCGUGGUUGUGCAGCCUUUCUGCCGUGUCUGUUUCGACAGGUGUUAGCAUGAUUGGUGGGUUCGUCCUGCUGAUCUGUUGACAUGCUUCCAGGUGCCCUUAACCGGGUGUCGGGGGCGGACGGCACGUUUACUUUGAACAAAUUUGAGUGCUCAAAGCAGGCCCGUGUGCCUGAAAAUUCUUGCAUGGAAUAAUGGAAUAGGACUUCGGUUCUAUUUUGUUGGUUUUCGGAUCCGAAGUAAUGGUUAAAAGGGACAGACGGGGGCAUUUGUAUGGCGGUGUUAGAGGUGAAAUUCUUGGAUCACCGCCAGACAAACUACAGCGAAAGCAUUUGCCAAGGAUGUUUUCAUUGAUCUGGAGCGAAAGUCAGAGGUUCGAAGACGAUCAGAUACCGUCCUAGUUCUGACCAUAAACGAUGCCAACUGACGAUCCGUGGUGGCGCGAUUAUUGGCCCCGCGGGCAGCCCCCGGGAA